rnacentral:rRNA from 1 species
CACGUAGGCGGAUAUUUAAGUCAGGGGUGAAAUCCCAGAGCUCAACUCUGGAACUGCCUUUGAUACUGGGUAUCUUGAGUAUGGAAGAGGUAAGUGGAAUUCCGAGUGUAGAGGUGAAAUUCGUAGAUAUUCGGAGGAACACCAGUGGCGAAGGCGGCUUACUAGUCCAUUACUGACGCUGAGGUGCGAAAGCGUGGGGAGCAAACA